GACGAACGCUGGCGGCGUGCCUAAUACAUGCAAGUUGAGCGCUGAAGGUUGGUACUUGUACCAACUGGAUGAGCAGCGAACGGGUGGGUAACGCGUGGGGAAUCUGCCUUUGAGCGGGGGACAACAUUUGGAAACGAAUGCUAAUACCGCAUAAAAACUUUAAACACAAGUUUUAAGUUUGAAAGAUGCAAUUGCAUCACUCAAAGAUGAUCCCGCGUUGUAUUAGCUAGUUGGUGAGGUAAAGGCUCACCAAGGCGAUGAUACAUAGCCGACCUGAGAGGGUGAUCGGCCACAUUGGGACUGAGACACGGCCCAAACUCCUACGGGAGGCAGCAGUAGGGAAUCUUCGGCAAUGGACGAAAGUCUGACCGAGCAGCGCCGCGUGAGUGAAGAAGGUUUUCGGAUCGUAAAACUCUGUUGGUAGAGAAGAACGUUGGUGAGAGUGGAAAGCUCAUCAAGUGACGGUAACUACCCAGAAAGGGACGGCUAACUACGUG
rnacentral:rRNA from 1 species